GUGCUUGCUUCAGCAGCACUAAAAUUAGAAGGAUACAGAAAUUAGCAUGGGCCCUUGACAAGGACAGCAUAUAAAUUCAUGAAGAGCUCCUUAUUUUU
ensembl:snRNA U6 U6 spliceosomal RNA